rnacentral:rRNA from 1 species
AGAGUUUGAUCCUGGCUCAGAUUGAACGCGGGCGGCAAGCCUUACACAUGCAAGUCGAACGGCAGCGCGGGCUUCGGCCUGGCGGCGAGUGGCGAACGGGUGAGUAAUACAUCGGAACGUGCCCUGUUGUGGGGGAUAACUAGUCGAAAGAUUAGCUAAUACCGCAUACGACCUGAGGGUGAAAGCGGGGGACCGGUAACGGCCUCGCGCAAUAGGAGCGGCCGAUGUCUGAUUAGCUAGUUGGUGGGGUAAAGGCCUACCAAGGCGUACGAUCAGUAGCUGGUCUGAGAGGACGAUCAGCCACACUGGGACUGAGACACGGCCCAGACUCCUACGGGAGGCAGCAGUGGGUGAAUUUUGGACAAUGGGGGCAACCCUGAUCCAGCAAUGCCGCGUGUGUGAAGAAGGCCUUCGGGUUGUAAAGCACUUUUUGUCCGGAAAGAAAUCGCGCUGGCUAAUACCU